rnacentral:misc_RNA from 1 species
GAAAUGCGAUAAUUAAUGUGAAUUGCAGAAUUCAGUGAAUCAUCGAGUCUUUGAACGCACAUUGCGCCCCCUGGUAUUCCGGGGGGCAUGCCUGUCCGAGCGUCAUUGCUGCCCUCAAGCACGGCUUGUGUGUUGGGCUUCCGUCCCUGGCAACGGGGACGGGCCCAAAAGGCAGUGGCGGCACCAUGUCUGGUCCUCGAGCGUAUGGGGCUUUGUCACCCGCUCCCGUAGGUCCAGCUGGCAGCUAGCCUCGCAACCAAUCUUUUUAACCAGGUUGACCUCGGAUCAGGUAGGGAUACCCGCUGAACUUGAGC